rnacentral:rRNA from 1 species
GAUGAACGCUGGCGGCGUGCCUAAUACAUGCAAGUCGAGCGAACAGACGAGGAGCUUGCUCCUCUGACGUUAGCGGCGGACGGGUGAGUAACACGUGGAUAACCUACCUAUAAGACUGGGAUAACUUCGGGAAACCGGAGCUAAUACCGGAUAAUAUAUUGAACCGCAUGGUUCAAUAGUGAAAGACGGUUUUGCUGUCACUUAUAGAUGGAUCCGCGCCGCAUUAGCUAGUUGGUAGGGUAACGGCUUACCAAGGCGACGAUGCGUAGCCGACCUGAGAGGGGGAUCGGCCACACUGGAACUGAGACACGGUCCAGACUCCUACGGGAGGCAGCAGUAGGGAAUCUUCCGCAAUGGGCGAAAGCUUGACGGAGCAACGCCGCGUGAGUGAUGAAGGUCUUCGGAUCGUAAAACUCUGUUAUUAGGGAAGAACAAAUGUGUAAGUAACUAUGCACGUCUUGACGGUACCUAAUCAGAAAGCCACGGCUAACUACGUG